GGAAAAAUGACAGCCAGUGGGUCAGUGAUAGCAGACUGCUGAAUGAAGUUCGGGAGCAGCCUGGAGGCUUGUCAUUCCAAAGAACUUUGAUUGCCUCAGGAUCACUGGGUGAGAAGAAGUGUGAUACUUGACGACUUAAGUUUUCGAAGAUUACUGAGAAACUAGGUAAAAUUGGGCACCUGCAGAGAGGAUUUCAGGAAGAUGCAAAAAGACCUUCGAGAGGAAAGCAUGACAAAAGGUAUAUGAAGGGUAAUCAGAGUGCCAAAUGAAGAACUGAGACAUUUAUAUGCAAAGAGAUCGAAAGAGAAAAAUCCAAUAGGCGAUCACGAGAGACCAAAACAAGCAGCAAAAAGAGCAGGGUGGCAGACAAACCAAAAGACAGUGACAGAAAGAGAUCAAUUUGUUCAGACUUGUUCAAGGCUUCAGUGGAGACAUGAACAGAUAUACUCAAUAUUGCUCGUCUUUUUCAUAAUUUAUUCCCACUGAACAGAAUUUUCUUCCCAUUUGCUAAAUAGAGGGUCGGAAACUUCUGUAACUUUAAAUAAAUGCCAGUUGGUCAAAAAAUUAAUGCCAGUAGGUUGCUUUCACUAUGAAUGCUAGCAGGAGAGAACUGAUGGGUAAUAGAAUCAUUCACUCUGAUUUCAGCCCAUGUCUAGUUAUGCACCCUUCCAGCAGAGAUUACUCAGUGAUAAUGAGUAAUGGUGAAGUGGUUAUGGUGAAGAAAAUUAAAAAAUUAUCCCAAGGAGCCAGGUAUGGUUGCUAACGUUAUUCAACUGAGAUCACAGUUCAAUGAUCAGAUUUGGGAUCCUCUUGCUUUGUAAAGCUCAAGUGUGCUGAGCGGUUUGAGUUUGAUGCUAAGCUUCUGAAAGAAAACCCACUCUAUAGUGGUGUGUCUACAACGCCAAUGCAGAGAGAGAUUUUUGGUGCCAAUAAAUUAUACAAUAGUGACGUGACUUUUCAGCCUAAGUACACACAUUUAUUCAAAUUGCACUGUAAGUUGCCAUAACAGCUAUUUUCUGGUAGUCAGCAACCUUGCACAGGAACCUUCAGGUUUUUUUUUCCCAGGCCAUUUUUCACACAUCUGAUGGUUUGUUGUGCUAAAUAGAUGCUAAUGUGUUUUGCAUGUGCUGCUUAUAAUUUGUUUGUUAAUGUGUGAAAGCUACUGAGUUUAUUUUUGCAGUCCCAUGGAUUUUCAUACUGCAGUCUAUCAUAUCAGGACAUAGCAAAGCAAUCUGUUAGCUGGUGGAUUAUAAAAUGAAUCAAUU